UACGUAGGGGGCAAGCGUUGUCCGGAUUUAUUGGGCGUAAAGAGCGUGUAGGCGGCCAUACAGGUCCGUUGUGAAAACUGGAGGCUUAACCUCCAGACGUCGAUGGAAACCGUAUGGCUAGAGUCCGGAAGAGGAGAGUGGAAUUCCUGGUGUAGCGGUGAAAUGCGCAGAUAUCAGGAAGAACACCAACGGCGAAGGCAGCUCGCUAGGACGGUACUGACGCUGAGACGCGAAAGCGUGGGGAGCGAACAGG
rnacentral:rRNA from 1 species